rnacentral:rRNA from 1 species
AACGAACGCUGGCGGCAGGCCUAACACAUGCAAGUCGAACGCCGUAGCAAUACGGAGUGGCAGACGGGUGAGUAACACGUGGGAACGUACCCUUCGGUUCGGGAUAACUCAGGGAAACUUGAGCUAAUACCGGAUACGUCCGAGAGGAGAAAGAUUUAUUGCCGAGGGAUCGGCCCGCGUCUGAUUAGCUUGUUGGUGAGGUAACGGCUCACCAAGGCGACGAUCAGUAGCUGGUCNGAGAGGAUGAUCAGCCACAUUGGGACUGAGACACGGCCCAAACUCCUACGGGAGGCAGCAGUGGGGAAUAUUGGACAAUGGGCGCAAGCCUGAUGCAGCGACGCCGCGUGAGGGAUGACGGCCUCGGUU